AGAGUUUGAUCCUGGCUCAGAUUGAACGCUGGCGGCGUGCUUAACACAUGCAAGUCGUGCGGUAACAGGCGUAGCAAUACGUGCUGACGAGCGGCGAACGGGUGCGUAAUACAUGGGAAUCUGCCUUUUAGUGGGGAAUAACCCGGCGAAAGCCGGGCUAAUGCCGCAUAAGAUCUUCGGAUGAAAGCGGGGGAUCGUAAGACCUCGCGCUGAUAGAUGAGCCCAUGCCGGAUUAGCUAGUUGGUGAGGUAACGGCUCACCAAGGCGACGAUCCGUAGCUGGUCUGAGAGGACGGCCAGCCACACUGGGACUGAGACACGGCCCAGACUCCUACGGGAGGCAGCAGUGGGGAAUAUUGGACAAUGGGGGAAACCCUGAUCCAGCGACGCCGCGUGUGUGAAGAAGGCCUGCGGGUUGUAAAGCACUUUCGGUGGGAACGAAAUAUGCCGGGCUAAUACCCCGGUAGGCUGACGUACUCAAGAAGAGACCC
rnacentral:rRNA from 1 species